ACGGAGGGGGCUAGCGUUGUUCGGAAUUACUGGGCGUAAAGCGCACGUAGGCGGCUUUGUAAGUUAGAGGUGAAAGCCUGGAGCUCAACUCCAGAAUUGCCUUUGAUACUGCAUGGCUUGAAUCCGGGAGAGGUGAGUGGAAUUCCGAGUGUAGAGGUGAAAUUCGUAGAUAUUCGGAAGAACACCAGUGGCGAAGGCGGCUCACUGGACCGGCAUUGACGCUGAGGUGCGAAAGCGUGGGGAGCAAACAG
rnacentral:rRNA from 1 species